rnacentral:lncRNA from 1 species
UUGGUUUCAUGUCGUUGAUGCAUACAUGCGCAUGGGCUUAGUGUUAAGUUUGAAAAUGGAGGGCAUCAGGAGGAACCAAUUCAGCCACUCGAUUAAACAUAGCUGUGAAUUGGGAUGAGCAACGGGUCUCCAAAGAUCAACUUCUCUGAACUGCUUGUGUUGAUCCUCUAUAAUUAGCAAACCCCUGGUAUCACUCUUUUGUGUUGCUACUGCGGUGGUAACUCCGUGUUCCCGUCUGGAGGAUUUGAAGGCUAGAGCCCUCCCAGGCUCCCACUAUUACAAAUUGUGUGGCAUACAUGCAAUUUAUCCGGGAACGCUACAGCCUGAUUAGGAUAAGCGUGGCCUGCAACAUCUUGAUGUAUCAGCUUCACCCUGCAGCCACCACUAAUAGAAAACAAGGCUUUGAUUCGAGCCUGGUCAGCCCAUUAGUCCCGGUUCUUCACGAACCGGGACCCAUGGGGGGCAUUAGACCCGGUUCAUGAGCCC